rnacentral:rRNA from 1 species
GAUGAACGCUGGCGGCGUGCCUAAUACAUGCAAGUCGAGCGAACAGACGAGGAGCUUGCUCCUCUGACGUUAGCGGCGGACGGGUGAGUAACACGUGGAUAACCUACCUAUAAGACUGGGAUAACUUCGGGAAACCGGAGCUAAUACCGGAUAAUAUAUUGACCCGCAUGGUUCAAUAGUGAAAGACGGUUUUGCUGUCACUUAUAGAUGGAUCCGCGCCGCAUUAGCUAGUUGGUAAGGUAACGGCUUACCAAGGCAACGAGGCGUAGCCGACCUGAGAGGGUGAUCGGCCACACUGGAACUGAGACGCGGUCCAGACCCCUACGGGAGGCAGCAGUAGGGAAUCUUCCGCAAUGGGCGAAAGCCUGACGGAGCAACGCCGCGUGAGGGAUGAAGGUCUGCGGAUCGUAAAACUCUGUUAUUAGGGAAGAACAAAUGUGUAAGUAACUAUGCACGUCUUGACGGUACCGAAUCAGAAAGCCACGGCUAACUACGUG